UGAGCAAGAUAUUACUUUGCUGCAGAGGGAUUUAGAUAGACUGGGGGACUGGGCACUCAAAUGGCAGAUGAAAUUUAAUGUUGAAAAAUGCAAAGUUAUGCACUUCGGCGUAAAGAAUACACAAGCAACAUAUACCCUUAAUGGAAGCGAAUUAGAGAUAACAACACACGAAAAGGACUUGGGAAUUGUUAUAGACAACAAACUAUGCAACAAUGUGCAAUGUCAAUCAGCAGUGACUAAGGCCAUUAA
rnacentral:lncRNA from 1 species